GAUGAACGCUGACAGCAUGCUUAACACAUCAGCAAUUGAUUGGUGGCGGACGGGUGAGUAACGCGUAAAGAACUUGCCUCACAGGUAGGGACAACAUUUGGAAACGAAUGCUAAUACCUAAUCCUGUGAGAGAGCUUUGCGUCCCAUUAGCUAGUUGGAGAGGUAACGGCUCACCCAGGCGUGGAUGGGUCGCCGGCCUGAGAGGGUGAUCGGGCCCAAGGGGACUGGGACACGGCCCGUACUCCUACGGGAGGCAGCAGUGGGGAACAGUGGACGAUGUGCCAAAGUCUGAUGCAGCAAUUCUGUGUGCAAAGUGAAGUUUUCGGAAUGAAAAGUGCUUUCAGUUGGGAAGCGGUACCAACAGAAGAAGUGACGGCUAAAUACGUGCCAGCCGCCGCGGUAAUAC
rnacentral:rRNA from 1 species